UAGCGCAGGAGUAGAGUACUCCAUUCAGUCGCACCCACACGCACCAAAUUGAGUUGGGUGUUGCUGUUGGUGCUUGCGAUGAAGACGAAGAAAAUUUUUAUUGUGGAAGGCCUUAGUAGUUGCCUUUGAUUAUAUAUUAUGAGAUCUGAGAGAAAGAGAAGAGAGCUGAAGAGGGAAGAGAGGGUUUGAGAAAGAGAAAGGGAGAAGAGGAAGGAACAGUGGCGCCGGAGGAAUGGGAGACCGCCACUGCAGCUGCGCGCCGCCACCGCGUCCUGCUGCUCGAGCCACCACCGUCCAGCUCGAGCCACCACCGCACCGUUCAUCACCAUUGCGAGGAAGCCCAAAACCGAGGGAGAGAGCUGCAUGGGGAGAAGGCGGCAUCGCCGUCUGUAGAACCCUCGUUGUCACCGUGCAGAGUCGCCGCCAUCGUCAUCAUCGCGGGCUACUGCCGCUGCGCGUGUGAUCGUCGCCGCCUCUGAGUCCGUCACCAUCGAGGCUGGUCGCGGGUAGAAGAAGAAGAGAUCUCCGUCACCGCCGAACCAAACGCAUGAGAGAGAAGGAGCCCGCGGGAGAGGAGCUUGUUGCCGCCGCUGCCAUGGCUUCCUUGCCAUCGCCGUGGUAGGGUAGUCACCGGAGGGAGCCGUCGUUGUCAGCGCCGCCGUCGGGGUUACCGCCGCUGCUGCCGCCGAUAAGGUUUUAAGUCGGUUUUCGUUUCCUUUGAAUUUCCGGGAGCUUAAUCAUCGCUGUAUGUUUGUUUCAGUCGCCAUUGCCGGAGUUCUGGUCGCCGCUGCCGUUCGAGGUGGCUACCGGAGCUGCCGCCAAACCGGUUCAGCGACCGCCGCUGUUUCAUUUUCUUAGUUCGGGUCGUGUUUUGAGCGUUACAUGUCGCUUUUAAGUUGCUGUGAGUGCUGCGAAAGUGACCAGGACUGAGUUUGCGGUUGCUGUUGGUUUUGGGUUAAGAGAAAUAGUUCCGUUGACGCGUUGAGUUAUAAUUUUGACGAGACGAGCUUUACCUUUUCAGGAACCGGAUGAAGAAGCAUUAAGAAGAGUUAAAAUCCGUUCGGUUUUAUAUGUUGAUGAAUUAAUUAGAUUAUUUUCUUCCCUCGUCUUUGUUAUUAUAAUUUUUGUAAGAGGGAUAGGAGUUGUAUGAUUUAUAUAUAUUAUAUUAUAA